rnacentral:lncRNA from 12 species
GGGAGCCUGAAUCAUUUCAUCUGUAUUGUCCAUUAAAUGCCCCUUUAUUUCUGCUGAGGGUGAAAAUGUGACCAAAGAUGACCCUGUCAUUUCUCAAGUACAGUAUCAUGAAGCAAUUUAGUGGAGGAAAAGGCUAAUAUCUCAUUGGAAGCAAGAAAAUAAACAUUAACUAUGACUGUAAUAAUGUUUCUGUGAUUUCUGUACAGGUUGCAGAGCAAGGGCCCAUGGGGGACUGCUUCUAGGACCCUUGGGUGGGAGGCUGGUGGGAAAGAGGAAGAAAGGUUGGAGGUGGGGUAGGGAGAUGACUGACAAAAACAGGGGUCAUACUGUUCUUCUGUGAAGAAUGUUCCACAAGGACUUUACUAGAUUGGAGACUGGAAGACCUCAAGGUCCUUUGCUCUGUGUUCUAUAGACAAAUGAUGAGGUCUGGCCAAUCUCUUUUCCCCCAAGCCAUCCCAUGCACCUGUAAAAUUUAAAAAAGGAACACUAAAAUAUAUCUAUAUAGCAGUGAAUUAAAAUGGGGCAGAGAUGUUUGCUUCUGCUGACAAAUAGGUAAUGUAUUCUUACAGCUAAGUAUCCACCCACAGAAAUGAUUUUAUUAGAUUCUCCUUAACCCUUUUUAAUAUAAAAGGGUUCAUAAAAUCUGUAUUCUUUACCAUUUAUCGGAGAUUAAAAUCAUGAUUUGCCUUGGAUGAAGGGGUGUGUGGCUAUCUACGAGAGGAAAUAGGAUUAUGGAGGGAGAUCAGAGCUACAUGUACCAAAAGCUUCCUUGCAUUUGUUUAGGGAAAAAUGGCACAGUGGGUCCUGUUCCUGAUGAGAGAAAGUAUGAGGAGUCAGCCUUGGUAACCAGCUAUAUGAGGGAUUCCAUAGGUGGACCAAGAGAAGAGGAAACAAUUCCAGUGUACUGUCAUUGGCUCCUCCCUCCUCUACUUAGAACUCAUCACGGGCUUCUUCAGGCUUGACUCUUUUGGUCAUAUAAAUAGAUAUUUAGUGUCUGUAUACUGGAGAAAUGAUUGAGGAGAGUCUGUGUUGACACCAUAGCUACACCUGAUGAUAACAAUAAUGUUCACAUAUCCAAAAAACAAAUAAUCCAAUUAAAAAUGGGCAGAAGACAUGAACAGAUAUUUCUCCAAAGAAGACAUCCAGAUGGCCAAGAGACACAUGAAGAUUUUCAACAUCACUCAUCAUCAGGGAAAUGCAAAUCAAAACUACGAGAUAUCACCUCACACCUGUCAGAAUGGCUAAAAUCAACAACACAAGAAACAACAAGUGUGGAUGAGGAAGUUGAGAAAAUCAAAAGCCUCUUGGGCUUUUGGUAGGAAUGCAAACUGGUGCAGCCACUGUAGAAAACAGUAUGGAACUUCCUCAAAAAGUUAAAAAUAGAACUAUCCUAUGAUCUAGCAAUCACUUUAUUGGGUAUUUACCCAAAGAAUAC